GGCUUUGUAGUGUAGUGGUUAUCACUCGGGAUUUUGAUUUGGUAGAGUUUCCCGAAACCCAGGUUCGAACCCUGGCAAGGCCU